rnacentral:rRNA from 1 species
UACGUAGGGUGCAAGCGUUGUCCGGAAUUAUUGGGCGUAAAGAGCUCGUAGGCGGUCUGUCGCGUCUGCUGUGAAAACUCGGGGCUUAACCCCGGGCCUGCAGUGGGUACGGGCAGACUAGAGUGCGGUAGGGGAGACUGGAAUUCCUGGUGUAGCGGUGAAAUGCGCAGAUAUCAGGAGGAACACCGGUGGCGAAGGCGGGUCUCUGGGCCGACACUGACACUGAGGAGCGAAAGCCAGGGAGCAAACGGG